UACAGAGGUGGCAAGCGUUGUUCGGAAUUACUGGGCGUAAAGGGCGAGUAGGUGGCCAUCUAAGUCAGACGUGAAAUCCCCCGGCUUAACCUGGGAACUGCGUCUGAUACUGGACGGCUUGAGUAUGGGAGAGGAACGUAGAAUUCCAGGUGUAGCGGUGAAAUGCGUAGAUAUCUGGAGGAAUACCGGUGGCGAAGGCGGCGUUCUGGACCAUUACUGACACUGAAUCGCGAAAGCUAGGGGGGCAAACGGG
rnacentral:rRNA from 1 species